rnacentral:rRNA from 1 species
GACGAACGCUGGCGGCGUGCUUAACACAUGCAAGUCGAACGGAAAGGCCCUGCUUGCAGGGUGCUCGAGUGGCGAACGGGUGAGUAACACGUGGGUGAUCUGCCCCUUAUUUUGGGAUAAGCCUGGGAAACUGGGUCUAAUACUGGAUAGGACCAUGCUGUAGGUGGUGUGGUGGAAAGAUUAGUUUCGGUAAGGGAUGAGCUCGCGGCCUAUCAGCUUGUUGGUGGGGUAAUGACCUACCAAGGCGUCGACGGGUAGCCGGCCUGAGAGGGUGGACGGCCACAUUGGGACUGAGAUACGGCCCAGACUCCUACGGGAGGCAGCAGUGGGGAAUAUUGCACAAUGGGCGCAAGCCUGAUGCAGCGACGCCGCGUGGGGGAUGACGGCCUUCGGGUUGUAAACUCCUUUCAGCCAUGACGAAGCCCUUGUGGUGACGGUAGUGGUAGAAGAAGCACCGGCUAACUACGUG